rnacentral:rRNA from 1 species
GAUGAACGCUAGCGGCAGGCCUAAUACAUGCAAGUCGAGGGGCAGCGCGGUAGCAAUACUGGCGGCGACCGGCGCACGGGUGCGUAACACGUAUGCAACCUACCUUCAACUGGAGGAUAGCCCGGGGAAACUCGGAUUAAUACUCCAUAACACAGGGAUCCCGCAUGGGAAUAUUGUUAAAGCUACGGCGGUUGAAGAUGGGCAUGCGUUCGAUUAGCUAGUUGGUGUAGGUAACGGCUCACCAAGGCUACGAUCGAUAGGGGGUCUGAGAGGAUGAUCCCCCACACUGGUACUGAGAUACGGACCAGACUCCUACGGGAGGCAGCAGUAGGGAAUAUUGGUUAAUGGGCGCAAGCCUGAACCAGCCAUGCCGCGUGCAGGAAGAAGGCCCUCUGGGUUGUAAACUGCUUUUGAUAGGGACAAAUGCCACUUGCGAGUGGAGCUGAGUGUACCUAUAGAAUAAGCACCGGCUAAACUCCGUGCCAGCAGCCG